rnacentral:rRNA from 1 species
CCUACGGGCGGCAGCAGUGAGGAAUAUUGGUCAAUGGGCGCGAGCCUGAACCAGCCAAGUAGCGUGAAGGAUGACUGCCCUACGGGUUGUAAACUUCUUUUAUAAAGGAAUAAAGUGAGGCACGUGUGCCUUUUUGUAUGUACCUUAUGAAUAAGGAUCGGCUAACUCCGUGCCAGCAGCCGCGGUAAUACGGAGGGUGCGAGCGUUAAUCGGAAUUAUUGGGCGUAAAGCGGUCGUAGGCGGUAUGUCAAGUCAAGGGUGAAAUCCCCGCGCUCAACGUGGGAACUGCCUUUGAAACUGGCAGACUUGAGUGUGUGAGAGGAUAGUGGAAUUCCAGGUGUAGCGGUGAAAUGCGUAGAUAUCUCGAGGAACACCGAUGGCGAAGGCAGCUUUCUGGCGCGUAACUGACGCUGAGGAGCGAAAGCGUGGGUAGCAAACAGGAUUAGAUACCCUAGUAGUC